rnacentral:rRNA from 1 species
GCUUUCACUUUAAAGUGAAAUAAGUCGUAACAGAGUAGUUUUACUGGAAAGUGAAUCUAGAAAGUCAAAUUAGAGCUUGAAAUAAAGUAUUUUAUUUACAUUAAAAAGUUAAUUGUGAAAAUCAAUUUAAUUUGAUAGAAAAAUAUUAUUUUAUUUAAAUUUUAUUUAGUAGUAAAAAAAAUAUUUUUAUUUUAGUAAUAAAAAGAAAAAAUUAUUUUAAUUAUAGAUUAUUAGUAUUGUGCAAGAAAUAAAAAAAAUUAUAUUUAAAGAAAAAUUAUUUUUU